CAAGGAAAACACGCCACAUAUGGCCGGCCACCGCAUGGCCUUAUAAUGCAUGCCUGGUCAACAACGCGUGGGCCUCAUGUGAAAAAAAAAUUAAUUAAUUAGAUUUCAAAAUCAGAUUGGAAAACCCUUUUGAUUGGAGCCUCCGGUCAUCACACACAACUUUCAGAAUCUCCCCUUCUCUCCCUUUGAAACCCGAUCACUCCCAAACAAAUUUUCAAGAAUUUGGAGCUCCCAAUCCCACCUUGUAGUUGGAGAAAGUGCUGAAAAAGGAAAUUGACAGAGAAGGGAAAAGAGAUAUUGGUGCCUCGGGUUGAAAGCUUGCUGGAGACUGUGGUUAAGGUGGGGUUAAGCCAUAAAGGUAAGAGACUUGGGUUUUAAUUAUUAACUAUUUACUAUAUUUUGUUGCUAGAUGGAAGAGGAUUUUUAGAUAAGCUUGAGAUUUUUUUCUUGAAAAAUAGAUGAGCUCGAGAUUAACUGAUUGUAUUAUAGUAAUUAUUGCAAGGAAGUGGGGUUAAAUACUUAUUUCCCUUCUUGUCCACUCGUUGAGUAUGAAAGGCUCACCCUAACUAGUUGAUAAUGGCAUAUAAGAGAAUUAAUUUGGAGCAGCUAUGGUGAGGGCACUUCAGCUUGCUGCAUAGGCGUUGCAAUGGUUAACGUGAUUCACUUAAGGAUUAUGCAUUUGAGUAUUGAGGGAGGUAUAACAAAAUAUUCUUGUGGAUGAGAAUUGUUGAGGGAUAUAUGCAUGAUGAGCAUGGAAGGGUUACAACAACAGGCCACCAAUCAAGUGGCUGUAAGGAAAUGGUAAGCUCUAAACGGCUAUGUAUUAUGAAAUAUCUAAUGCCUACAUGAGGCAAGAGCAUGGGUGGUGUUAUGCAUGUUGUGAUAUCACAUGCACUUUAUGGACAGACAUAUAAUGGAGGGGUUUACCUUGAUUAAUAACUUAAUGUCUAAAGGCUAGGUUAGAGAUCAAGCAUUCCUUGACAUAAAUGUUAGAUAUUAUUAUUUGGAGGGCCAAACAUGUGCUUGAAUAUUGAUGAGAUCAGUUAGUUGAUUAACGAAGAAAUGUGAAGAUUGUUGCCAGGUCACGCAUUAAAUUAUAGAAUGUUGAGAGCCACAGUAGAAUGUUUAUAACUCUUGUAAAUUGUUUUGAGAACUCCUUGCAUUUGGGAAAGUACAUGCUGUUUUGUGUACAAAUCGAAUUGAUGGAGCAAUAAUAAAUUGCAUAAUUCUGAUUUAAAUAUAGGUGACUUUGGAUAUUGCAAAAGAAUUAUGGCAUGUUUUUUGAAGUUAAUGAGAUGGCAUAUUUGGUCAGCUUGAUUUAAGUGAAAUAUGCUUGAUUGAAAGCCUUACCACGUACCUUAAAUCCAUUAUUUAAAAUUGAUAGUUCUUUAAUUAAAACAUAUGUUGAUAUUUUUGGGUGAAACUCUCCAAGACCUUGUUGAUAUUAGGAUUAUGAGGUCGAUGUGGGUGGUGCCCCGAAUUUGCUGUUGAUGAUUGUGAAGAGUUCCACUCUUUAUAGUUAGGUCUCUUGAGUCGUAAUACACCCUAGACAUUUUUGACAUUAUCAUGAAACGUGAUGAUUAUUAACUUAAGCGAUGGAAUUCAUGAUUGGACUUGAUUUAAAUACUAAUAAUAAGUAUUUGUAUAUGUCAUGUCUGAUACAUUGAGUUUUAGUUGGUUUUGGAAGUUGCCAUGAUCUUAAACUUGUACUUAAUUGUCCUUGGCACCCCUAUGUCUUUUAAUCAAAUUUUGGAUGAUGUGAAAUAUGUACGAAUUUUUAGCAGCAUUGAACUCAUUAAUAUCAUGGAAUGCUUUGAAAUACAUGAUUUGGUUUACUUACUAAUACCAUAGCAUGCUUUGAAUUUAUUACAAUUUGAAAAUUGAUCAUGGCUGGAUUUUUGUGUACACUGAUAUUGGUACUUAUAUGGCAUGAUACUAAUUUCAAAUGGCAUUACAAUAUCAUACUUGCAUGAUUAAGUUGCUUCCUGAUUUUGAAAGCCAAUUUAUGGUUAUAUUACUCUAAGUAUGAAGUUUGAAAUUCAAUAAUUGUAUUGAUGUUAAGGAAUGCUCUAGUGGAGUCUUAUUCAUGAGCCUAUAAUUGCAAGCACAAUUCAAUGAUUAAAAAAAGAUAGUAUUUCAUUAGUACACUUGGUAGAUUUAGGAAAUUAUAAAACUGAUGAAAGAGAUAAUUGGUGGAAACUUAUUGGAAUCUAAGUGUACAAUGUUAGGACACGCAUCGAGUCAAAUGUUUGGAAUCGAAAUUCAAUUAUGGGAAGUGGUGGUAAUGGAAAUAACUUAUACCAAAGGCGUUGGAAAAGCCUUGGUGAAGGCUAGGAGAGAAUUGAUGUGAGAUUUGGAUAUAAGUGAAUAAAUGUGGAUAAAUUACUACAUUUUGAAUAUAUAGGUCAAGGCCUAACAAUGUUAAGAGAAUAUGGCUAGUCAUAAGAUAACGCCAAGUAUGUGGGGCAUGAAAAACUUAUGUGUAUGAUAUGAGGUGGUAGUUUUCAGUUAAAAUUCUACUAUGCAAGUAUACGUAUCGAAUAGAUAGUAUAUUAGUAAGUAGAGUAUCGAUCCCACAGGGAAUUGAUCUAAAAUUUUACUAAGUACUAAAAUUAGAAC